ACAAAAACAUGUCCUUUUGAUAAUAAUUUAAGGUCUAAUCUGCCCACUGAGGAGUUAAAUGGCCGCGGUAUUUUGACCGUGCAAAGGUAGCAUAAUCAUUAGUUUCUUAAUUAGAAGCUGGAAUGAAUGAUUGGAUGAGAAAAUAACUGUCUCAAAUUAAUUUAGUUUGAAUUUUAUAUUUAAGUUAAAAAGCUUAAAUUUAAUUAAAAGACGAGAAGACCCUAUAGAGUUUAAUUUUAAAAAUUAAAUUUUGAAUUAUUGAUUUUAUUGUUAAGAUUUAUUUAUAAAAUUUUGUUGGGGUGACAGAAAAAUUUAAUUAACUUUUUUUAAAUGAAAACAUUAAUUAAUGAAUAAUUGAUCCAAAUUUUUUGAUUAAAAGAAUAAAUUACCUUAGGGAUAACAGCGUAAUUUUUUUUAAGAGUUCUUAUCGAAAAAAAAGAUUGCGACCUCGAUGUUGGAUUAAAAUUAAUUUUUGGUGUAGAAGCUAAAAAAUUAGGUCUGUUCGACCUUUAAAAUUUUACAUGAUCUGAGUUCA
rnacentral:rRNA from 1 species